GCACUACUGAAGAGUCCCAUACUAGGACGAAACGGCCGUCCAGUAC
rnacentral:hammerhead_ribozyme from 1 species